AUUAUAAAAUUUACAAGGCCCAACCCGAAUUCACAAGGCUCAACCCAUUAAAAUUUUAGGGUUUUUGACAAGGGUUAACGGCGACAAAGAGCCACGGCGACGGUGACAGACGGGACGCCGACGGUGACAACGAACCCGCGACGGCGACAAUGAUGACCAAUCUUUUCGUCCGAUGAAGCUUGUAAUUUGCCAACCAUAAGAAAAUAAGUGAAUCUAGCCGUGAGUUUGGUGAUAGGAAGAGCUUAGUGAGCACACAAUAAAAAAUCAGACCAAGAAGAGAUUGAGGGGAAAAAGAAGAGCUUAUCCCUAAAACAUUUGUGGUUAUAGGUGUAGAAAGAAGAAGAGCUAACAACAAUUGAUGAAGAAAAAAGAAAAUCAGGGAUUAGGUUGGAGAAGAUGAACUUUGUUUUAGUUUUUGAAUGGAAAAGAAGAGAGGCGCAGAGCCAAAGAAGAAAAAUAA
rnacentral:sRNA from 1 species